CCAUGCAGUCGAGCGGUAACAGAGAGUAGCUUGCUACUUUGCUGACGAGCGGCGGACGGGUGAGUAAUGCUUGGGAACAUGCCUUGAGGUGGGGGACAACAGUUGGAAACGACUGCUAAUACCGCAUAAUGUCUACGGACCAAAGGGGGCUUCGGCUCUCGCCUUUAGAUUGGCCCAAGUGGGAUUAGCUAGUUGGUGAGGUAAUGGCUCACCAAGGCGACGAUCCCUAGCUGGUUUGAGAGGAUGAUCAGCCACACUGGGACUGAGACACGGCCCAGACUCCUACGGGAGGCAGCAGUGGGGAAUAUUGCACAAUGGGCGCAAGCCUGAUGCAGCCAUGCCGCGUGUGUGAAGAAGGCCUUCGGGUUGUAAAGCACUUUCAGUCAGGAGGAAAGGUUAACGGUUAAUACCCGUUAGCUGUGACGUUACUGACAGAAGAAGCACCGGCUAACUCCGUGCCAGCAGCCGCGGUAAUACGGAGGGUGCGAGCGUUAAUCGGAAUUACUGGGCGUAAAGCGUACGCAGGCGGUUUGUUAAGCGAGAUGUGAAAGCCCCGGGCUCAACCUGGGAACUGCAUUUCGAACUGGCAAACUAGAGUGUGAUAGAGGGUGGUAGAAUUUCAGGUGUAGCGGUGAAAUGCGUAGAGAUCUGAAGGAAUACCGAUGGCGAAGGCAGCCACCUGGGUCAACACUGACGCUCAUGUACGAAAGCGUGGGGAGCAAACGGGAUUAGAUACCCCGGUAGUCCACGCCGUAAACGAUGUCUACUAGAAGCUCGGAGCCUCGGUUCUGUUUUUCAAAGCUAACGCAUUAAGUAGACCGCCUGGGGAGUACGGCCGCAAGGUUAAAACUCAAAUGAAUUGACGGGGGCCCGCACAAGCGGUGGAGCAUGUGGUUUAAUUCGAUGCAACGCGAAGAACCUUACCUACACUUGACAUACAGAGAACUUAC
rnacentral:rRNA from 1 species